UGUUAAAAAAACCAUUCAUUUGUACUGUUAAAAUUUAAUGCGGCUGAUAGAAUAAUCAAACAGUGACAUGUGGCAUGUCAUGUGUACAUCAUACUAAUGUACAACGACUAAUUUUUAACAACAGAAAUGAAUGAAAUUUUUAACA
rfam:Gossypium hirsutum cultivar TM-1 chromosome 24, whole genome shotgun sequence